rnacentral:rRNA from 1 species
GACGAACGCUGGCGGCGUGCCUAAUACAUGCAAGUCGAGCGAACAGACGAGGGGCUUGCUCCUCUGACGUUAGCGGCGGACGGGUGAGUAACCCGUGGAUAACCUACUUAUAAGACUGGGCUAACUUUGGGACACCGGAGCUACUACCGGAUAAUAUAUUGUACCGCAUGGUUCAAUAGCGAAAGACGUUAUUGCUGUCAUUUGUAUAUGGCUCCGCGCCGCAUUAACUAGUAGGUAAGGUAACGGCUUACCAAGGCACCCGAGGGUAGCGGUCCUGAACGGGUGGUCGGCCAGACGGGAUGUGAGAAACAGUCGACACACUUACGGUGAGCAGCAGUAGGGAAUCGUCCGCGAGGGGGGAAAGCGUGACAGAGCAACGCCGCGUGAGUGAUGAAGGUGUUCGGAUGGGAGAGCUCUGUUGGUAGGGGAGAAGAAAUGUGUAAGUAACUAUGCACGUCUUGACGGUACCGAAUCAGAAAGCCACGGCUAACUUCGUG